UACGUAGGGUGCGAGCGUUGUCCGGAAUUACUGGGCGUAAAGAGCUCGUAGGUGGUUUGUCGCGUUGUCCGUGAAAACUCACAGCUCAACUGUGGGCGUGCGGGCGAUACGGGCAGACUGGAGUACUGCAGGGGAGACUGGAAUUCCUGGUGUAGCGGUGGAAUGCGCAGAUAUCAGGAGGAACACCGGUGGCGAAGGCGGCUACCUGGACAGAGUCUGACGCUGAGGCACGAAAGCUAGGGGAGCAAACAGG
rnacentral:rRNA from 1 species